rnacentral:rRNA from 1 species
UACGUAGGCAGCAAGCGUUGUUCGGAGUUACUGGGCGUAAAGGGUGUGUAGGCGGUUCUUUUAAGUUUGGUGUGAAAUCUCCCGGCUCAACCGGGAGGUGCGCCGAAUACUGAGGGACUAGAGUGUGGGAGAGGAAAGUGGAAUUCCUGGUGUAGCGGUGAAAUGCGUAGAUAUCAGGAGGAACACCGGUGGUGUAGACGGCUUCUGGACCAUAACUGACGCUGAGACACGAAAGCGUGGGUAGCAAACAGG